CGCGUAGGCGGACUGGAAAGUUGGGGGCGAAAUCCCGGGGCUCAACCCCGGAACUGCCUCCAAAACUAUCAGUCUAGAGUUCGAGAGAGGUGAGUGGAAUUCCGAGUGUAGAGGUGAAAUUCGUAGAUAUUCGGAGGAACACCAGUGGCGAAGGCGGCUCACUGGCUCGAUACUGACGCUGAGGUGCGAAAGUGUGGGGAGCAAACA
rnacentral:rRNA from 1 species